rnacentral:lncRNA from 1 species
AAGGGUGGAAAUAUUGCGCGUACAACAAUGCGUUCAAACUCAAACUCUGAAUCUUCCUCGAACAUGAUGCUGGUUUUUUUAACUUGUUUGUGAUUUGUGGCAAUUUUUUUGGAAUAUUCACUGGUAUGGAUAAUAACGAAUAUUAUGAAGACAUCAUCUCUCGAGAUCACAGUUUUUGGUUAAGUGAAACAAAAAUAGUGCGGUAGUGUAUUUACUAAAUAGUGUAAGGUGCAACAAAUAAUCAAAAAAA